rnacentral:rRNA from 1 species
GACGAACGCUGGCGGCGUGCUUAACACAUGCAAGUCGAACGAUGAAGCCUAGCUUGCUAGGUGGAUUAGUGGCGAACGGGCGAGUAAUACGUGAGUAACCUACCUUUAACUCUGGGAUAAGCCUGGGAAACUGGGUCUAAUACCGGAUACGACCAAUCUCCGCAUGGGGUGUUGGUGGAAAGCGUUAUGUAGUGGUUAUAGAUGGGCUCACGGCCUAUCAGCUUGUUGGUGAGGUAACGGCUCACCAAGGCGACGACGGGUAGCCGGCCUGAGAGGGUGACCGGCCACACUGGGACUGAGACACGGCCAGACUCCUACGGGAGGCAGCAGUGGGGAAUAUUGCACAAUGGGCGCAAGCCUGAUGCAGCGACGCCGCGUGAGGGAUGACGGCCUUCGGGUUGUAAACCUCUGUUAGCAGGGAAGAAGAGAGAUUGACGGUACCUGCAGAGAAAGCGCCGGCUAACUACGUGCCAGCAGCCGCGGUAAUACGUAGGGCGCGAGCGUUGUCCGGAAUUAUUGGGCGUAAAGAGCUUGUAGGCGGUUUGUCGCGUCUGCUGUGAAAGGCCGGGGCUUAACUCCGUGUAUUGCAGUGGGUACGGGCAGACUAGAGUGCAGUAGGGGAGACUGGAAUUCCUGGUGUAGCGGUGGAAUGCGCAGAUAUCAGGAGGAACACCGAUGGCGAAGGCAGGUCUCUGGGCUGUAACUGACGCUGAGAAGCGAAAGCAUGGGGAGCGAACAGGAUUAGAUACCCUGGUAGUCCAUGCCGUAAACGUUGGGCACUAGGUGUGGGGGACAUUCCACGUUUUCCGCGCCGUAGCUAACGCAUUAAGUGCCCCGCCUGGGGAGUACGGCCGCAAGGCUAAAACUCAAAGAAAUUGACGGGGGCCCGCACAAGCGGCGGAGCAUGCGGAUUAAUUCGAUGCAACGCGAAGAACCUUACCAAGGCUUGACAUAUACUGGACCGCAUCAGAGAUGGUGUUUCCCUUCGGGGCUGGUAUACAGGUGGUGCAUGGUUGUCGUCAGCUCGUGUCGUGAGAUGUUGGGUUAAGUCCCGCAACGAGCGCAACCCUCGUUCUAUGUUGCCAGCACGUUAUGGUGGGGACUCAUAGGAGACUGCCGGGGUCAACUCGGAGGAAGGUGGGGAUGACGUCAAAUCAUCAUGCCCCUUAUGUCUUGGGCUUCACGCAUGCUACAAUGGCCGGUACAGAGGGUUGCGAUACUGUGAGGUGGAGCUAAUCCCUAAAAGCCGGUCUCAGUUCGGAUUGGGGUCUGCAACUCGACCCCAUGAAGUCGGAGUCGCUAGUAAUCGCAGAUCAGCAACGCUGCGGUGAAUACGUUCCCGGGCCU